UUUUUUUCCAUGUCUCUUUAGGGGCUCCUACAUAUGUGCCAGCUGGGUACAAAAACAUACAACAUAACAUAACAUAACAUGACGAGGGGAGGAUUUGUGCAUUAAGUAAAACAGCAGUCAACAUAAGCACAUCAUACAUAAAAAUAUAAAGAUGCUGCUUGAAAAUAGGGAAAAAACAUUUCUUAUUAAAGAAUUCGACCUUAUCUUUGAGAUCUAUAUGAAAUCAGGUCUUACAGUUGACACAUAGCUGAGACAUUUUGACCAGUUCUCUUCAAAAGUAUCAGUUUGGUUCCUUAGUUUGAAUGUAAUUCUUUCCAUAACAUAUAUAUUAUAAACUAUAUGGUAAAUGGACCUGUACUUGUAUAGCGCCUUUCUAGUCUCCGACCACUCAAAGCGCUUUUACACUACGUGCCACAUUCACCCUUUCACACACAUUCACACAGUGAUGGCAAAGUCCAUCAAACAGAAACUAACAUUCAUACACAGCAUCGGGAGCAAUUUGGGGUUCAGUAUCUUGCUCAAGGAUACUUCGACAUGUGGCACCAGGAGCCGGGGAUCGAACCCACAACCUUCCGAUUAAGGAACGACCUGCUCUGCCUCUGAGGUCAAAGUCUUUUUACACCCCACUAACAACACCCUCAAAAGCUUCCAGGACCCCAAGAACCUCUCUCCAAAAUGGAGCCACCGAGGGACAGCUCCAAAACAUAUGAAAAUGAUUUGCUGAAGUAUUCCCACAGGACCUCCAACAGGCAGUCUGAUUUGAAUAGUUGGUCUUUUGUGCUGGAGAACGAAAGAAUCGAGUCACGUUUUUCCAGCUGAAUUCCCUCCAGGAGGGGGAGCUUGUCACUGACCACUGCUGUCUGCAAGUCCUGUCCCAUUCCUCUUGUGAGACUGUGAAGCCUCCCUCUGCGUCCCAUCUUUCCUUAAUAUCCAAAGUAUGAUCACUUUUAAGGUUUUGAAGAGCUGAGUAUAGUUUGGAUGAUAUCUUUUGGAGGGUGACAUUCUUGUAGGCUCUUUGAAAAAUGUUAAGAAUUUCAUCCCUUUCAUACAGCAGUAAGCUGCAGUAUAAUAUAACAUAUGGGAAUGUAUUAACAUUAAUGAUGUGCACUUUAACAUGGAUGUAAAGUUGUAAAGCAAUGGCGGGAUGCAACUGAGUAGUCUGAGUUUAGUUUGAUCUGUUGUGGCUAUAAGUAUCCCUCCUAAGAAGGAGUUGUCGGUUUUCUGCAUCAUCUUAUCAGUCAAUUGCAGCUUAUUACAUUUUUGGUGCAAUUCCAAUUUUCUUAUCAAGUGGCUGCUUGAUGGUAAACUGACUGUGUUUGCCCCUCACGGAGGAAAGGCUGUGGCAAUGCAUGGUGAAACAACAUGCAUGCCAUUUAUUUCAAAGUAAAGAAGGCAAUCUUAAACAAACUAAUGAGGAUUUUUACCAGCAUGAUUAUUGUUAUGAAGAGGUGGCUGCAUUUUUAUCCUUUGUUUUGUAAAAAAAAAUAGUUUUAAAUGCUAACUUUGGCUCAUGUUGAGACUGUAUUGGUUGAUAAACUGUGGUGGUUUAAAUAUUAAGGUGUUUUAUAUUAGUGCUGCAAAGAAAUAAAAUAAAAAAGUAGUGAGAAUU